AUUUUGUUAAAUGGAUUUUCCUAAUACCUGAGUAUAUUUAUAUACUAUCUUAAGAAUUACGGUUAGUCAAGUGACUAGCAUUGACUAACCUUAACUCUAUUGACUAUCUCUAUAAGAUAAGAACCUUGGAAAAAGAAAAAACAAAACGAACAGCAGAAAAGAAGAUAAGAUAAGAAUAAAUUCACAAAAAUACCGUGUCCUUAUUUUGACACAAAGUAGCUGACAAUCAGAACAAAGAAAAUAGCCAAAUAGCAAACCAAAAUAUAGUGCAAAAAUAAGGUAUAAUUCCAAAAUAAGGACAAAAAGAAAAUGACAAAGCACGAACAAGCCAUAUUUAGAUUUUACGAGAAUACUAUAGACGAAUGCCUUAAUGAAGAACCAACCAAAGAAGAUAGAAUUGCCAGAAGUGAAAAGAACGCAUAAAAUGAAGAAGUAUUUUCAUUAUUUUUCUGAUUCCUCUUAGAACCUUCUGAAUUUUUUUGAUUUGAACUCCUAGAAAAUUCUCAAUUUUUUUGAUUUGAGCUGCUAGAAAAUUAUGAAUGUUUUUGCUUUGAGCUCCUAGAAAAUUAUGAAUUGAAAUGAAAAUUGAAAUCAAAAGGGAAAUCAAAAUCGAAAUGAAAAAGAUUCUAAUUGUUCCUAUUAAUCUUAACCAGUCAGAAAGAAGGAGAAAAAAUAAUGCAAAAUUAAUAACAACAUAGAUACAGUUUGCAUACGAAUAUAAAAAAAUAGCUUAAUAAAGAACCAAAGAAUAUAGAAUCGCGAGAAUUUAAUAGGACUCAUAAAAUUCUGAAUUUUGUUUAAUUUUCUUCUGAUUCUUCCUAUUGCUCCUAUUGUUUUUAUUUUUGAUUCUUCGUAGCGUCGUGAUAAUGUUGUCCAUUCGAUCCUCCUAUUGUGAUCUAUUUUGAAUUAAUUGUAAAUGUGCAUGAACAUUAUGAAUAAUAUGAAACUAGAAAAAGUAUUCACAAUGUGUUUUUUUUUUAAUCCAUCAAAAAUGAGAUAGAAUAGCUUCAACCUUGUCAACCGAAAAUGAGAAAAUGAAAUCGGGGUAAACACCAAUACCUAUUAUGGGUAUAAGGAUAGAAAUAGAAAUAAAUAAUUCUCUGGGCCCAGAAUCAAAAAAUAAGAGUUUGGUGUAUUCAAAAACUUAUAUCCAUAGAACAUCUGCCGUACGAUUGAUAAUAAAUAAAUCGAAGUUAAUAUCAUUCCAAUUGCUGUUACAAAAGUAAUUAGUAUUUUCAUCAUGAAAAGAUUUUUUGACUACUAAUUAUUCCAAAAAAAACUAUCAAUUCUGCAACAAAACCGCUCAUGCCAGGCAAUGCAAGAGAAGCCAUUGAUAAGAUAGUAAAAAUUGUGAAUAUUUUUGGCAUUGGGAUAGCCAUUCCGCCCAUUUCGUCAAGAUAAAGAAGAUGCACUCUAUCAUAACUAGUUCCUGCCAAGAAAAAAAGUGCAGCGCCAAUAAAUCCAUGAGAUAUGAUUUGUAAAAUGGCCCCGUUGAGACCAGUAUCACUUAUGGAACCAAUUCCUAUAAUUAGAAAACCCAUAUGAGAUACCGAAGAAUAAGCUAUUCUUUUUUUAGAUUACGUUGACCAAAAGAUGUUGAAGCGGCAUAGAUUAUUUGAAUAGAACCUAAUAUCAUUAACCAGGGGCAAAAUAUGGAAUGAGCGUGGGAAACCAAUUCCAUAUUAAUUCGAACCAACCCAUAUGCUCCCAGUUUUAAUAAUAUGCCGGCUAAAAGCAUACAAGUGCUGUAAUGUGCCUCUCCGUGGGUAUCUGGUAACCAUGUAUGUAAGGGUAUAAUUGGCGAUUUGACAGCAAAGAAAAUCAGAAAUGCCGUAUAGAAUAUUAUUUCUAGUGCCACGGGAUACGAUCGAUUAAUUAAUGUUUCAAAAUUAAAUGUUGGUUUAUUAGAGCCAUAUAAACCGAUACCCAGAAUUCCCAUUAAUAAAAAAACAGAAGCUCCUGCAGUGUACAAAAUAAACUUAGUAGCAGAGUAGAAACGUUUCUUUCCCCCCAGAUGGAUAAAAGUAGAUAAACGGGGAUUAAUUCCAAUUCCCACAUGAUGAAAAAAAGUAAAAUGUCUCGAGAAGAAAAUGGUCCUAUUUGACCGCUAUACAUUGCUAACAUCAGGAAAUAGAAUAAUUGGUAUUCUCGAGUAACCGGCUGAGCCGCUAAAGUGGCUAAAGUAGUUAUAAAUCCUGUUAGUAAAAUGGGUCCUAUAGAGAGUCCAUCUAUUCCUAAUCUCCAGUCAAAAUCAAAAAAAUGGAUCCAUUUAUAAUUCUCCGUCAGUUGAAUUAGUGGAUCAUCCAAUUGGAAAUGAUAAGAAAAUGCAUAGGUUGUUAGAAGGAGAUCGAUUAAGCAUAUACAAAUGCUAUACCACCUAAUUACCUUAUUUCCCCUAUGAGGAAAUAAGAAAAUUAAGGAACCUGCGGCUAUUGGCAAAACAACAACGAUUGUUAACCAAGGAAAAUAAUUCGUGAUAAAAAUAAGAUACACUUGGGCCAGAAAAGCCCGUGCUCAAAAUAGAAAAAAAAGAUUUUCUAUUUUAUUUGGAGCACGAGUUUUUGCCAGUAAAAAACGUAUUCGUGUGGUGUUGUUUGAAACGAAUCAAUAAGCUAGACCCAUACUUCGAGUUGUUUCAUGCCAUAAAUAAACUCGAACACUUAAGAAAUCCGUCGGACAAGCGGACUCACACCUCUUACAACCAACACAGUCCUCUGUUCUUGGGGCAGAAGCUAUUUGCUUAGCUUUACAUCCACCCAAGGUAUCAUUUCUAAUACAUCUGUGGGACAGGCUCGGACACAUUGAGUACAUCCUAUACAUGUAUCAUAAAUCUUUACUGAAUGUGACAUUAUAUCUAUAGUAAUUGUUGAUGUUCAAAAAUGAAAAUUAUUGAUCUAGUAAACUCGUAAAUGAAUCGUAUAUUUAUAUACCAGAUGAAUCAAUGAUUUGUGAUAAUAUUGUUAACUGUUAAUAAAAAAAGGUGUCUAGAUAAAUUUAGAAGAGGGAAUAGAAGAGGACCAGGAUACUUUGAUUUCUUAUGAUUUAGGCAAUCCAAACAUGAUAUGAUCAUAAGUUGUGUCGAAUAAAUACUCAAAUGAAUUGAUUAAUAUUUCACUAUGUGAAAUUCGACUUUAUUAUUAAUUAUGAUAGGAUUAAUGCUAUUUAUUCAACAAAUUCGAUUGAUUGAUACGGGUUGAUUUUCUGUUACGAGCAAUUGAAGAAACAAUAGCCAGUCCGAUAGCCGCUUCAGCGGCUGCAAUAGCUAUAACAAAAAUUGAAAAAAUAUUUCCUUUUAAUUGGCGAUUAUCAAAAAAAUCAGAAAAAGUUACUAGAUUUAUAUUAACUGCAUUCAGUAUAAGUUCAAGACACAUAAGGGCUCUAACCAUAUUUCGGCUCGUGAUCAAUCCAUAGAUACCAAUAGAAAAUAAAUAGGCACUCAAAACAAGUACAUGUUCGAGCAUCAUUGACCAACUCCUUAUAAAUUUUGAUUCAUUAACAAAUAUAUCGGCAAUAAAAAAAAGAAUCUUGAUAAAACUCUUUCACUUCACAUAGAAUUCGACAGAAAUGAAUGUGAUAAAAUUGAAAAAAAAAAAGAAAAAUAAUAAAAAGACUGUUCUUAUUCAAAACGCCCUGUGAUCUUCAACCAAUUUUGUGCCUCAAUAUAAUUACCAGGGGUAAGGGCUAUAGCUUGUUUCCAAUAUUCAGCAGCUUGAUCAAACCAAGAUUCUGCAAUUUCAGAAUCUCCCUGUCGAAUGGCCUGUUCUCCGCGGUCGGAAUAGGUGAGUAAAAUCCUUCCCUUAGAACCGUACUUGAGAGUUUCCUGACUCAUACGGCUCAACAGUCAAUUCUUUUGAUCUUCCAUGGAGUUAAUAACAAGAAAAAGGUUAAUUACAUGAGUUUCAAACUUGCCUUUGGAUUAAUAAUUCAAUUUAAUCGUUUGUUUUUAGUUUUAUCUUUUCUCCUACCUUCUGAAGAAUAAAGCAUCGAUAUUAACACUAACGCUCUUAUUCUCAUUUUCUGAAAGGUAACUAUCUCGAUUUCAUAUAUCAUUUCAUAUAUAAUAUAUCUAUUUCUAUAGAAUCUUUGAGAAAGACUUUUCUUCAUAAGAAAAGACUUACUAUCUUUGGGAUCUGAUACUACACCGCUGCUCAAAACCUUAGGGGAUCAACUUUAUUACAUAAGUUGAUUUCUAAUCUAUCAUCAUAUAAGUAAGCAGUUCUUGUUGUAUCGGCCAAAAACCUUGUUAAUUGAUCUUUACGGUGCUUCCUCUAUCAAUUAGAUCUUUUAUCCAUAGAAAAAAGUAUCUAGGCAUAUAUAUUCUAUUUCUUCAUAUUUUUACUUCUAUGAAGUUUCUUUCAUACAGCUCAUAAAAAUCGUUGUUUCGAACGAUAUCUAUGUAACUUAAUUCUAAAUUUGGUUGAAUUAAUGAAGAACCAAAGAAUAUAGAAUCGCGAGAAUUUACUAGGACUCAUCAUCUUCUGAAUUUUGUUUAAUUUUCUUCUGAUUCUUCCUAUUGCUCCUAUUAUUUUUAUUUUGAUUCUCCGUAGCGUCGUGAUAAUGUAAUCCAUUGGAUAUUCUUCUCCUGAUCUCUUUUCGAAGAUCUCUUAUUAAAUUAAUGUGAAUUAACUUAAUUCUAAAUUUGGUUGAAUUAAUGAGUUGAAAAAGUCUUUGAAUUAAUUGUAUAAUAAUUUUGUUUAAUUUUCUUCUGAUUCUUCCUAUUGCUCCUAUUGUUUUUAUUUUGAUUCUUCGUAGCGUCGUGAUAAUGUUAUCCAUUCGAUCCUCCUAUUGUGAUCUAUUUUGAAUUAAUUGUAAAUGUGCAUGAACAUUAUGAAUAAUAUGAAACUAGAAAAAGUAUUCACAAUGUUUUUUUUUAAUCCAUCAAAAAUGAGAUGGAAUAGCUUCAACCUUGUCAACCGAAAAUGAGAAAAUGAAAUCGGGGUAAACACCAAUACCUAUUAUGAGUAUAAGGAUACAAAUAGAAAUAAAUAAUUCUCUGGGCCCAGAAUAAAAAAAAUUAGAGUUUGGUGUAUUCAAAAACUUAUAUCCAUAGAACAUCUGCCGUACGAUUGAUAAUAAAUAAAUCGAAGUUAAUAUCAUUCCAAUUGCUGUUACAAAAGUAAUUAGUAUUUUCAUCAUGAAAAGAUCAUUUUUGACUACUAAUUAUUCCAAAAAAACUAUCAAUUCUGCAACAAAACCGCUCAUGCCAGGCAAUGCAAGAGAAGCCAUUGAUAAGAUAGUAAAAAUUGUGAAUAUUUUUGGCAUUGGGAUAGCCAUUCCGCCCAUUUCGUCAAGAUAAAGAAGAUGCCACUCUAUCAUAACUAGUUCCUGCCAAGAAAAAAAGUGCAGCGCCAAUAAAUCCAUGAGAUAUGAUUUGUAAAAUGGCCCCGUUGAGACCAGUAUCACUUAUGGAACCAAUUCCUAUAAUUAGAAAGCCCAUAUGAGAUACCGAAGAAUAAGCUAUUCUUUUUUUUAGAUUACGUUGACCAAAAGAUGUUGAAGCGGCAUAGAUUAUUUGAAUAGAACCUAAUAUCAUUAACCAGGGGCAAAAUAUGGAAUGAGCAUGGGAAACCAAUUCCAUAUUAAUUCGAACCAACCCAUAUGCUCCCAGUUUUAAUAAUAUGCCGGCUAAAAGCAUACAAGUGCUGUAAUGUGCCUCUCCGUGGGUAUCUGGUAACCAUGUAUGUAAGGGCAUAAUUGGCGAUUUGACAGCAAAAGAAAUCAGAAAUGCCGUAUAGAAUAUUAUUUCUAGUGCCACGGGAUACGAUCGAUUAAUUAAUGUUUCAAAAUUAAAUGUUGGUUUAUUAGAGCCAUAUAAACCGAUACCCAGAAUUCCCAUUAAUAAAAAAACAGAAGCUCCUGCAGUGUACAAAAUAAACUUAGUAGCAGAGUAGAAACGUUUCUUUCCCCCCCAGAUGGAUAAAAGUAGAUAAACGGGGAUUAAUUUCAAUUCCCACAUGAUGAAAAAAAGUAAAAUGUCUCGAGAAGAAAAUGGUCCUAUUUGACCGCUAUACAUUGCUAACAUCAGGAAAUAGAAUAAUUGGUAUUCUCGAGUAACCGGCUGAGCCGCUAAAGAGGCUAAAGUAGUUAUAAAUCCUGUUAGUAAAAUGGGUCCUAUAGAGAGUCCAUCUAUUCCUAAUCUCCAGUCAAAAUCAAAAAAAUGGAUCCAUUUAUAAUUCUCCGUCAGUUGAAUUAGUGGAUCAUACAAUUGGAAAUGAUAAGAAAAUGCAUAGGUUGUUAGAAGGAGAUCGAUUAAGCAUAUACAAAUGCUAUACCACCUAAUUACCUUAUUUCCCCUAUGAGGAAAUAAGAAAAUUAAGGAACCUGCGGCUAGGAAAUGAUAAGAAAAUGCAUAGGUUGUUAGAAGGAGAUCGAUUAAGCAUAUACAAAUGCUAUACCACCUAAUUACCUUAUUUCCCCUAUGAGGAAAUAAGAAAAUUAAGGAACCUGCGGCUAUUGGAAAAACAACAACGAUUGUUAACCAAGGAAAAUAAUUCGUGAUAAAAAUAAGAUACACUUGGGCCAGAAAAGCCCGUGCUCAAAAUAGAAAAAAAAGAUUUUCUAUUUUAUUUGGAGCACGAGUUUUUGACAGUAAAAAACGUAUUCGUGUGGUGUUGUUUGAAACGAAUCAAUAAGCUAGACCCAUACUUCGAGUUGUUUCAUGCCAUAAAUAAACUCGAACACUUAAGAAAUCCGUCGGACAAGCGGACUCACACCUCCUACAACCAACACAGUCCUCUGUUCUUGGGGCAGAAGCUAUUUGCUUAGCUUUACAUCCACCCCAAGGUAUCAUUUCUAAUACAUCUGUGGGACAGGCUCGGACACAUUGAGUACAUCCUAUACAUGAUAGCUUUACAUCCACCCCAAGGUAUCAUUUCUAAUACAUCUGUGGGACAGGCUCGGACACAUUGAGUACAUCCUAUACAUGUAUCAUAAAUCUUUACUGAAUGUGACAUUAUAUCUAUAGUAAUUGUCGAUGUUCAAAAAUGAAAAUUAUUGAUCUAGUAAACUCGUAAAUGAAUCGUAUAUUUAUAUACCAGAUGAAUCAAUGAUUUGUGAUAAUAUUGUUAACUGUUAAUAAAAAAAGGUGUCUAGAUAAAUUUGGAAGAGGGAAUAGAAGAGGACCAGGAUACUUUGAUUUCUUAUGAUUUAGGCAAUCCAAACAUGAUAUGAUCAUAAGUUGUGUCGAAUAAAUACUCAAAUGAAUUGAUUAAUAUUUCACUAUGUGAAAUUAGACUUUAUUAUUAAUUAUGAUAGGAUUAAUGCUAUUUAUUCAACAAAUUCGAUUGAUUGAUACGGGUUGAUUUUCUGUUACGAGCAAUUGAAGAAACAAUAGGCAGUCCGAUAGCCGCUUCAGCGGCUGCAAUAGUUAUAACAAAAAUUGAAAAAAUAUUUCCUUUUAAUUGGCGAUUAUCAAAAAAAUCAGAAAAGGUUACUAGAUUUAUAUUAACUACAUUCAGUAUAAGUUCAAGACACAUAAGGGCUCUAACCAUAUUUUGGCUCGUGACCAAUCCAUAGAUACCAAUAGAAAAUAAAUAGGCACUCAAAAUAAGUACAUGUUCGAGCAUCAUUAACCAACUCCUUAUAAAUUUUGAUUCAUUAACAAAUAUAUCGGUAAUAAAAAAAAGAAUCUUGAUAAAACUCUUUCACGUCACAUAGAAUUCGACAGAAAUGAAUGUGAGAAAAUUGAAAAAAAAAAAAGAAAAUAAUAAAAGACUGUUCUUAUUCAAAACGCCCUGUGAUCUUCAACCAAUUUUGUGCCUCGAUAUAAUUACCAGGGGUAAGAGCUAUAGCUUGUUUCCAAUAUUCAGCAGCUUGAUCAAACCAAGAUUCUGUAAUUUCAUAAUCUCCCUAUCGAAUGGCCUGUUCUCCGCGGUUGGAUUAGGUGAGUAAAAUCCUUCCCUUAGAACCGUACUUGAGAGUUUCCUGUCUCAUACAGCUCAAUAGUCAAUUCUUUUGAUCUUCCAUGGAGUUAAUAAUAAGAAAAGAGGUUAAUUACAUGAGUUUCAAACUUGCCUUUGGAUUAAUAAUUCAAUUUAAUCGUUUGUUUUUAGUUUUAUUUUUUCUCCUACCUUCUGAAGAAUAAAGCAUCGACAUUAACACUAACGCCCUUAUUCUCAUUUUCUGAAAGGUAACCAUCUUGAUUUCAUAUAUCAUUUCAUAUAUAAUAUAUCUAUUUCUAUAGAAUCUUUGAGAAAUACUUUUCUUCAUAAGAAAAGACUUACUAUCUUUGGGAUAUGAUACUACACCGCUGCUCAAAACCUUAGGGGACCAACUUUAUUACAUAAGUUGAUUUCUAAUCUAUCAUCAUAUAAGUAAGCAGUUCUUGUUGUAUCAGCCGAAAACCUUGUUAAUUGAUCUUUACGGUGCUUCCUCUAUCAAAUAGAUCUUUUAUCCAUAGAAAAAAGUAUCUAGGCAUAUAUAUUCUAUUUCUUCAUAUUUUUACUUCUAUGAAGUUUCUUUCCUACAGCUCAUAAAAAUCGUUGUUUCGAACGAUAUCUAUGUAGAAAGCCUAUUUCUAUUAUUUGUCUAGUAUUUAUUACUAUUAGUGGACGUUCUUUUCUUUUUUCUUUCUAUAGUGGAGAUAGUCGCACGUAAUGACAGAUCACAACCAUAUUGUUAAAAGCUUAAGGUAAGAAAGGGUUUCGUUCGAGUGCCCGAAAAUAGUAUUCCAAAGCUUUUAUAUGUUCUCUGCUACUUGUAUGGAUAAGGCCUGUGUUAUAAAGUAUAUAACUUAGAUCAUAGGGAUCAAUUUCUAGUCGCAUAGCCUCAUAAUAAUUAUGUAAAAGCUCCCGCAUAAAUUCCUUCUGAUUGAGCUAACAUCCAUUACGAUCGUCACUCAGUUCAAAGAAUCUUCGUUCCAGAACCGUAUGUGAGAUAGUCAUCUUAUACGGCUCCUCCUUUAUGUGGAUAAUGAUAAACAUCCAUGGAAUCAAAAAAGAUUGCAAUAUUCUCAUUAUCAACUGAGCGGGACUAGUGUUUUUACACGAAAUCUCUAGCCAACCUUUCUGUAAAUGAUCUUUUAUUAACAUUUAGUUAGUUAUUACUGGAUAAAUAGUAACUUCAAAAAUUUCUUUGUCCUCAAUGCCACUUAAUUUCCCGGAAUUAGUCACUUCAACAGUCUUCGAUGGUUAUAUGGGUAUCCAAAAUACGAACGAGAUGGAUGUUUGUUGUCCGAACCAUUCUAGUUAGUCCCGAUCCCGAUAAGAAGAAAGGAAGGAUUUUUUUUACAAAGUUUUCUCCUGUUGUUGAUUCCCUAGCGUAGUGCUUCUUCCCCCAUGCCGCCUAUUGGUACUAGUGGAGUAGGAUUCACCUAACCCCAUAGGUAUAUAUAGGUAUAACCUUUCGCUUAAUACUACCUAAAAUUGAAGCAUAUUGAGGUUGCGUUAAUCGGGAAUACACGAUAGAAGGCAUUAAUCAUUUUUUUUAUUUCCAAACUUCACCUUCAGCAAGCGUAGGUUUUCUUUUCAAUUUGUUUUUAUUUGUCUCUGAAGUCGGUAAAAAAAGUAAUCAAAUUUCACCAUCUCUGUAAUAAGUGAAUGCCUCUUUUUCUCCAGGAGUUGUCGGAAUUAUUCGUAAUAAGAUAUUGGCUACAAUGGUAAAGGUCUUAUCAAUAAAAUUUCCAUUUAUCCUAGAUCUAGUCAUAGGUAUCCAUUCUAUAAUUUCCUUUUUUAUCGCGUGAUAAAAAAAUUCCCCAAAUAAAGGAAUUGUACAAUACAGUACGAAAUAAAGUAAAAAUGGACUUCUUAAUCAAAUUACUUUAUUCUACGGUAGGCCUUGAAGUAGAUUUUUUUUUUUCAAAAAAAAUACAAUUUUUUUCCAUUUUUUUUAGUUUCAAUUGAUUGUGUGCGCCUAUGCAAAUGGGAUAUAAAUGGCUUACUAUUCACUCUGUUUAGGGACAUAAUCAUUAUGUAGGAGAGAUGGCCGAGUGGUUCAAGGCGUAGCACUGGAACUGCUAUGUAGGCUUUUUGUUUACCGAGGGUUCAAAUCCCUCUCUUUCCGCACCCUUACCAAAUUCAUCAAUGUUACUGACCUCAAUGUUUGAAAUAAUAAUAGAUAACGUUAUUGCAACUUUGAUAUGCAUUCUCUAUUCCUAGUUUGUUUCUAUAAUAUAGAAAAUUGUGGAUCAAGUGGGUAAGGAAUAACAAUUUUCCUACACCCACUUCUAUACACGAAUGGGGAAAAAUACUCGGACCAAAAUUCUUGUCAUUUUGACGAGGUUUAAGUCUGACGAGAAUAAUAUUCUACAACCAGCAAUUCAUUAAUUUCCAAACCAACCCAUUUACUAUCUAUUAUUUGCUUGACUAAUCCUUUAUAUUGGAAUGGAAGAAUCAAAUGGGUUGGCAAUUGUUUGCGGGGGGCUGAUUCAAGAGAAUUUUGAAUCAGAGUUCUCGAUUUUUUGUCAUCCUUGGCUGUAAUAAUAUCUUCAGGUUUACAACGAUAACUUGGUAUAUCUACUAUACGACCAUUAACUAAAACAUGUCUGUGGUUAACUAAUUGACGGGCUUGAGGAAUAGUCGCAGCCAUACCCAAUCGAAAAAGUAUGUUAUCCAAACGCCAUUUCCAGUAACUGGAGUAAAACUUCACCCGUUGACCCUUUCGCUUUUCCAGCGAUACGAACGUAUUUAAGCAAUUGUCGUUCUGUAAGACCAUAAUGAAAACGCAAUUUUUGUUUUUCUUCUAAACGAAUAUGAUAUUGAGAUUUUUUACUGGAGCGCGAUUGUUCGCUUCCAACUGGAAGCUCUUUUCUGGUUAGUCCUGGUAAAGCCCCCAGACGCCGUAUUUUUUUGAAACGAGGCCCCCUGUAACGUGACAUAAACCCUCCUUUUUUAAAUGGAAAAUUUCAUAAAGAAAAAUUAAAACUAAACUAAAUGACAAAUAUUAUAAAUGAAGUGAAAUCUACUUAAAGUAUUGUACUAUUAAAGUAUUGUAUUAGAAAUAGUGUAGUAUAAAGAACAAUUGGAAAGAUUCUAUCAGUAUCCGAAUUGAAUUCUAUUAUAUUUCUAUAUAAAUAAAAAAAGGCGGUUAUUUUAUUGCUUUGUUCUACAGAAAAGGAACUCCCUAUUAUUUUCCUAAAAAAAAAAGAGAUUAUCCCUGAUUAUCCCUUAUGUGAAAAAAAAAAAAAAUAGAGAAAAAAGCCGGCUAUCGGAAUCGAACCGAUGACCAUCGCAUUACAAAUGCGAUGCACGAGAUGGAUGUUUGUUGUCCCAACCAUUCUAGUUAGUCCCGAUCCCGAUAAGAAGAAAGGAAGGAUUUUUUUACAAAGUUUUCUCCUGUUGUUGAUUCCCUAGCGUAGUGCUUCUUCCCCCAUGCCGCCUAUUGGUACUAGUGGAGUAGGAUUCACCUAACCCCAUAGGUAUAUAUAGGUAUAACCUUUCGCUUAAUACUACCUAAAAUUGAAGCAUAUUGAGGCUGCAUUAAUCGGGAAUACACGACAGAAGGGGUUAAUCGUUUUUUUUAUUUCCAAACUUCACCUUCAGCAAGCGUAGGUUUUUUUUUUCCAUUUUUUUUUUAUUUGUCUCUGAAGUCGGUAAAAAAAAAUAAUCAAAUCGCACCAUCUCUGUAAUAAGUGUAUGCCUCUUUUUCUCCAGAAGUUGUCGGAAUUAUUCGUAAUAAGAUAUUGGCUACAAUGGUAAAGGUCUUAUCAAUAAAAUUUCCAUUUAUCCUAGAUCUAGUCAUAGGUAUCCAUUCUAUAAUUUCAACCUUUCGCUUAAUACUACCUAAAAUUGAAGCAUAUUGAGGCUGCAUUAAUCGGGAAUACACGACAGAAGGGAUUAAUCGUUUUUUUUAUUUCCAAACUUCACCUUCAGCAAGCGUAGGUUUUUUUUUCCAUUUUUUUUUUAUUUGUCUCUGAAGUCGGUAAAAAAAAAAUAAUCAAAUCGCACCAUCUCUGUAAUAAGUGAAUGCCUCUUUUUCUCCAGAAGUUGUCGGAAUUAUUCGUAAUAAGAUAUUGGCUACAAUGGUAAAGGUCUUAUCAAUAAAAUUUCCAUAUAUCCUAGAUCUAGUCAUAGGUAUCCAUUCUAUAAUUUCAUUUUUUAUCGCGUGAUAAAAAAAUUCCCCAAACAAAGGAAUUGUACAAUACAGUACGAAAUAACGUAAAAAUGGACUUCUUAAUCAAAUUUCUUUAUUCUACGGUAGGCCUUGAAGUAGAUUUUUUUUUUUUUUUUUCAAAAAAAAAAACAAAUUUUUUCCAUUUUUUUUAGUUUCAAUUGAUUGUGUGCGCCUACGCAAAUGGGAUAUAAAUGGCUCAAUAAAUGGCUCACUAUUCACUCGGUUUAGGGACAUAAUCAUUAUGUAGGAGAGAUGGCCGAGUGGUUCAAGGCGUAGCAUUGGAACUGCUAUGUAGGCUUUUUGUUUACCGAGGGUUCGAAUCCCUCUCUUCCCGCACCCUUACCAAAUUCAUCAAUGUUACUGACCUCAAUGUUUGAAAUAAUAAUAGAUAACAUUAUUGCAACUUUGAUAUGCAUUCUCUAUUCCUAAUUUGUUUCUGUAAUUAAUAUAGAAAAUUGUUGAUCAAGUGGGUAAGGAAUAACACUUUUCCUACACCCACUUCUAUACACGAAUGGGGAAAAAUACUCGGAUCAAAAUUCUUGUUAUUUUAACGAGGUUUAAGUCUGACGAGAAUAAUAUUCUACAACCUGCAAUUCAUUAAUUUCCAAACCAACCCAUUUACUAUCUAUUAUUUGCUUGACUAAUCCUUUAUAUUGGAAUGGAAGAAUCAAAUGGGUUGGCAAUUGUUUGCGGGGGGCUGAUUCAAGAGAAUUUUGAAUCGGAGUUCUCGAUUUUUUGUCAUCCUUGGCUGUAAUAAUAUCUUCAGGUUUACAACGAUAACUUGGUAUAUCUACUAUACGACCAUUAACUAAAACAUGUCUGUGGUUAACUAAUUGACGGGCUUGAGGAACCCACUUCUAUACACGAAUGGGGAAAAAUACUCGGAUCAAAAUUCUUGUUAUUUUAACGAGGUUUAAGUCUGACGAGAAUAAUAUUCUACAACCAGCAAUUCAUUAAUUUCCAAACCAACCCAUUUGCUAUCUAUUAUUUGCUUGACUAAUCCUUUAUAUUGGAAUGGAAGAAUCAAAUGGGUUGGCAAUUGUUUGCGGGGGGCUGAUUCAAGAGAAUUUUGAAUCAGAGUUCUCGAUUUUUUGUCAUCCUUGGCCGUAAUAAUAUCUUCAGGUUUACAACGAUAACUUGGUAUAUCUACUAUACGACCAUUAACUAAAACAUGUCUGUGGUUAACUAAUUGACGGGCUUGAGGAAUAGUCGCAGCCAUACCCAAUCGAAAAAGAAUGUUAUCCAAACGCAUUUCCAGUAACUGGAGUAAAACUUCACCCGUUGACCCUUUCGCUUUUCCAGCGAUACGAACGUAUUUAAGCAAUUGUCGUUCUGUAAGACCAUAAUGAAAACGCAAUUUUUGUUCUUCUUCUAAACGAAUACGAUAUUGAGAUUUUUUACUGGAGCGCGAUUGUUCGCUUCCAACUGGAAGCUCUUUUCUGGUUAGUCCUGGUAAAGCCCCCAGACGCCGUAUUUUUUUGAAACGAGGCCCCAAGACCAUAAUGAAAACGCAAUUUUUGUUUUUCUUCUAAACGAAUACGAUAUUGAGAUUUUUUACUGGAGCGCGAUUGUUCGCUUCCAACUGGAAGCUCUUUUCUGGUUAGUCCUGGUAAAGCCCCCAAACGCGGUAUUUUUUUAAAACGAGGCCCCUUGUAACGUGACAUAAACACUCCUUUUUAAAAUGGAAAUUUUCAUAAAGAAAAAUUAAAACUAAACUAAAUGACAAAUAUUAUAAAUGAAGUAAAAUCUACUUAAAGUAUUGUAUUAGAAAUAGUGUAGUACAAAGAACAAUUGGAAAGAUUCUAUUAGUAUCCGAAUUGAAUUCUAUUAUAUUUCUAUAUAAAUAAAAAAGGCGGUUAUUUUAUUGCUUUGUUCUACAGAAAAGGAACUUCCUAUUAUUUUCCUAAAAUAAUAAGAGAUUAUCCCUUAUCUGGAAAAAAAAUAGAGAAAAAAGCCGGCUAUCGGAAUCAAACCGAUGACCAUCGCAUUACAAUGCUCUAACCUCUGGGCUAAGCGGGCUCUCAUAAUACAAAUUGUUCAUUUCUCAGAAUUUUUUCCUAAACUACUGGGAUCCUUCCUAGUUAUUAACUAUUUCAUAUUAGCUCUUCAUAACACAAUUACUAUAUCAUAACAUAAUCCAAUAAAUACAAACAUACAAAAAAAUUUAGAAUAUCCUAUAUUUAUUUGAUAUUCUAGUAUAUAACAUAUGAUAUAAAACGGAAUCAUUUUAAAAUACGAAUAAAAACUAUUUUAAUUACCAGUUACCUCAAAUACUCUUUAUUGUCCAUUUAUCCAAUUUUUUUUGAUCCAUAAAAAAAUAAUUUGAUAAACAAGAAUUUUCAUUCAUAUAGUAAGAUUCUCUUUUUUUUUAGUUUUUAAUCCCAUUUUUUAAUAUUUUAGAUUCUUUAAAUUUCGAUUAUUUAUUAUAUUUUAUCUAUUUCUAUUAUUAAAAAUUCAUAUUUAUUAUAUGUAUUUAUCCCGAUCCUUAUUAUUUAAAUUUAUUUUAUAUAAUUUUAUCUAUUAUAUCUACUUUUAAAUAUUAAAAGUAAAAUUAUAUAGGAAUAUUAUUUCUAUGUAUAUAUUCUUUAGAUAUUCUUUAAUAUUCUAGAAUACCUUAUAUUUCUUUCUAAUAUAAUAUAUAUAUAUAUAUAUAUAUAUAUAUAUAGAAAAUAGUAAAGAGUAUAUAUACUCUUUAUAUAUAUAUAGAAAAUAGUAAAGAGUAUAUAGAAUAUCAUCUUCAAUAGAAAUAAAAAUAGAAAUGUCUAUAUUAAGAUAUAUUCAAUAUUAUAUUAUCAUUUUAUUUAAUUUAAAAUUAAAUAAUGACUAAUUUGAUUACAGUUAUUUAUAUUCCAAAAUGAUUAUGCAUUAAGAUGAAAUAUGUAGAAUGUCUUUUAUUUUAUACAUAAAUAUAUCCAUAUCGAAUUAUACAUAUCCAUUCGAAUUCUAAAAUAUUGGAUGGAUUAUCAAAAGAAAUUGGAUUGGAUAAGUAAUUAAAAAUUAGAUCUUUCUAUUGAAUUUCUAAAUAAAUGUCGAAUUAGAAAUUAAUAAAUAGAUUUUAAUAAUUUUUCGUUUUGUUAUUAUAAGGUUUGUAUCUGUCUGCUCGAAGGAAAAAAAGAAUCGAACUUUAGAGUAUUCUAAAUUCUAUCAAAAAAGAAUAGAAGGGGGGACAUCUAAGAUAGAGAUAUAUGUAGUAUAUAUCUCUGUAUAUUGAAUUGUGAAUACAUAGAUAAUAGAAUCAUUUCUGAUUCGACUAAAUUAUGGGUAGCUGAUAUAGAUGAAAGAAAAUCAAUCAAGAAAAAACAAAUAGAAGGAAAUUUUUCCCCACCCAAUAUGAGUGUAGGUUUCGAAUAAAUUC
rnacentral:lncRNA from 1 species